rnacentral:rRNA from 1 species
CAGUAGCCACGGGAACACGAAGGGUGCAAGCGUUAAUCGGAAUUACUGGGCGUAAAGCGUGCGUAGGCGGUUUGUUAAGUCUGCUGUGAAAUCCCCGGGCUCAACCUGGGAAUGGCAGUGGAUACUGGCAAGCUAGAGUGUGUCAGAGGAUGGUGGAAUUCCCGGUGUAGCGGUGAAAUGCGUAGAGAUCGGGAGGAACAUCAGUGGCGAAGGCGGCCAUCUGGGACAACACUGACGCUGAGGCACGAAAGCGUGGGGAGCAAACAGGAUUAGAUACCCGCGUAGUCCCUGUCUCUUAUAC